AAUCUCUUUCGUAAUUAGUAAAAUAUGCUUGGCUAGAUCACUGCAUUUUUGGGGCUAUGGCUCCAGCUAGUGGCUGGAGAGGGUCAUCACUCAUGUCGCCCUUCACCCUUCACUCUUCACUAUGUGGAACUGGAAGAAUUGGCUCUCCCCCUUUCCAUUUUCUUUUCCAGAUGAUAAUGGAAGCCCUCCGCAGUGUGCUGAAAAGGGGACAGAUAGAGGGAUAGAGAAAGGGGCAGAGAAAAAGGAAGAGAGAGGAGGAGGAAAAGAAUAUAGUUGGCUCUAUGUUCAGAAUGGGUAGUGAUGGAGGAACAUUACUUCAAAUACUGAACCAAAGAAAUGCAGGAAGUCUAAGGGUGCUCGUUUUUAAGAAGCAAAUAAUUGGACUGUGGACAUGCUUCUGCCUCUUCUGACAUUGGUUCAGCAGUGAACUCAUAAGACGAAUAACUCUCAAAUGGCUAAUAAAGCAGAAACCUCUUCAGUGGAUAUUUGUAAU
rnacentral:lncRNA from 1 species